ACAAAUUAUAUGAGCUAGAAUAUUAACUACAUGUAUCACUAAUUAGAAGUAGAAAUUCAGUAUAAGAAAUGUUUGAAAAAGACUUACGUAUGAUAGCAGAAAUAAUAUAGAAUAAAAGCAUUUGGCAGAAUUGAUCUAAUCCGCUGGCCUUCUGGGUAAUGUUGUCAAGAAUUUAUUGGAAAAAAAAGUAAAAUCUGGUGCUCAUAAAGUAUGUCCAGUACCGGCUCCACUGGUGGUAGUCGUCGUGUUGUCAUUCAGUAAAUAUCUGCUUAUAAGUUCAUGAUGAGAAACAAAAAAAUUAAAAAUUCGUAUUGAGACUAUAUUGAAAGCUAACUUUAGUUCAUUGAAAAUACAAAAUAUAAAUGAUUUAAAUUUCCGAAAUGCAUACCUUAAUGUAUUUUAUUGUAGUAUAUGGGUUAGGAACAGCGAGUGUUUUGGUUAUUAGUUUAGCGUCACUUGUUGGUGCUGUAUUCGUCAAACUAUCACAGAAGGUUAUAAAAGACUAUCUGAUGGGAAUGUUACUCUCGCUGUCAGUCGGUUGCCUUGUUGGAGAUGCUAUUCUACACUUACUUUCUGAGGUUUUAGAAGGAGAAAGCAACAUGGAAAACACACGAGUUUCAGAGAUAUUGACAAAGCAAUGCGCUCUCCUUGCCAGUAUUUAUGGAUUUUUCUUACUGGAGCUGACGUUUUGUUUUCUGAAAAAUAGCACACAAGAAAAGGUAGAUAAAGUAUAUACAAAUGCUUGUUUGGAAUGUUGUUAAAACAACAAUACGUGAAAUGGAUCUUAGUAACAAAUAUUACUUUGUUAAUUAUUGCAAUUAUUGCAAAUAAUGCAUAUUUUGAUAUUUUUUUUCUUUAGUGGAGUUUUUGUUGGUAGAGUUGUGUUGUAUUAUGACUGUUAAAUUUAUCUCCAACAUUCUCUCACUGAUUGUAUAAAUACCCGACAGCUUCAAUAUUCAUAUCUUUAAAAAUUACUGUUACUGGAGAAAACAGUUACACACCCGUACAUAUAUCAAAAUAUAUAUUUUUACUUAUAGAACCUAGCGAAACGUGGAGUAUACUUGAUUUUCACUGCAAACAAUAAAAAGCACACAAUAGCACAGUAUUGAUAAAACAUGAGUCCUUACAACGAUCAAUUUCAUUCAAAUAUUCUGUCAUUAAUACUAAAUUCAAAAUUUUCCAAGGACUAAAUGCCUCUUCGAUAUCGGGAAAAUAAUCACAUAUAUAUGUAUGUGUUUUUAUUCUUUCAAUUAAAAGUAUUCUUGAUAUUUUCGAUCGGAGAACCAGCUCACGCUAAGUGAUGCAGGCCAAUUAUAAUGUUUUCUGUUUUUGAAAUAAAUCUUGAAUAAUAUUACAAUUUAAUUAUUGAAAUUUCAACUCACUAAAGCAAUUUGAAAAAAUCUUAAGGUAUAUCUCGGAUAAAGUGACUUAUAGUAAAAAAUAUGACCUUAUAUGAAUUCGGCUAUUUUUUAAGGUCCCUUUUGGUCAUAUUGCUCUUUUCGAUCUUAGGUCGUAUACAUUAUUAUCUUCCAAAUGUUGGGUUGGAGCAUUCCUGAAGAAGUUGAAUCCAGAAAUGCGUUUUGAACGCAUGCAAUUAAGAAAGUCUUACUUUCAUUUAAACUGCUGAUCAUUCUUGGUUUACAGAAAGACGAUAAGUACACAUGUCAAAAUGAAGAAAACGAAAUUAAAGGUCAAAGAGGAAAAGAUAAAUCUGCCCUUGCUUGGAUGGUGAUAGUAGGGGACGCCAUACAUAAUUUUGCAGAUGGUCUAGCUAUAGGGGCUGCCUUUAGUAAAGAUAUAACAGUUGGGUUAUCCACUUCAAUAGCUGUGUUUUGUCAUGAAUUACCACAUGAAUUAGGUGUGUUAAUUUUAUCAUUCUAUGAGAAAAAAUGUUACCCGAUUAUAAGUAAUGUUCCCGACGGUUUCCCCGGCCUAGUACCAAUUUGUAUCACAAUUUUUAAUGCUGGACGCUUGAUUUCACAUGGUAUAGAAAAAAAUUUCCAAAUGAUAAUUGUGUCAAGAUGAUGGUUUUGAAAAUAUAACACUGAGCAUAGGAAAAUCGAACCUGUAAAAAAAAAAUGUUUAUAGAUAUAUUCUGCAUUUACAGAAAAAAGACUAUGUUUAGAGCAACUGAUUAGAACCCUAGAAAUAGAUUUUUCUCAUUUCAGUUGUAUAAUAUGUUAUAAACGAAAACGGAUUGGAUUCUGAGUACUUUUGAACCAUCUCAAUAAAAUGGCUUCUCAGAAAUUAAUUAAACAUGUGUGAUUAACUUAUUCUUUCAGGAGAUUUUGCGGCUUUAGUGUCUAGCGGUUUGUCAAUCAAACGAGCAAUGGUUUUGAAUUUCAUUUCCAGUCUGACAGCCUUUUUAGGGUUAUAUAUAGGCAUACUAGCCAGCUCAAAUGAUGUUGCUAGAUCCUGGAUAUUUUCAGCUGGUGCAGGCAUGUUCAUUUAUGUCGCCUUAGCAAACUUAAUUCCAGAAGUGCUUAGUUAUUUCAAAAGAAUACCAAAUUUGUGUAUGUUUCUGUCAUUGAAUUUCGGACUAUUAUUCGGCUACGUCUCAAUGUUGUUGUUGGCUAUAUUUGAGGCAGAUUUUAAAUUACCCUAAAGCUGUGUGAAAACAAAACUGUUGAAAAACAAUAAGUAAAUCAUCGUCCACAAAACAAAUACUCAUUGAAUGUAAUAAAAAGCCCUUUCUUUUGUGGUAAAUGUGUCUAUGCAUUGUGUUUACAUUACUAUAAAAACGUUUAAAAUAACAAAUCAAAUAAAUUAUCUCACUUUAUCUUUAUUAUUUAUGCCUAUAAAUUCGAGGCGUCAUAACGUUUAUAUUAGCAAAAGAUCUUUCAAAUAUUCGUUUGUGAUCCAACUUCUCUUAUACAUGUUUAGUUUUGAAAUUUGGUUCCUAAGCGGCUUUGACUAUUGCAAACAUGAUAAACUUUGCGUGUAACAAUCCAAUUUCAAAAAGAUUUUGUGCAUCUAGUGUCUAAUCAUAUAUCUAUUUCUAUAAGACAUUUGAAUAAAAACCGGAGGAUACCAAUGCAACAUUAAAAACUCAUAAGUCGAGAAAAAAUGACAACACCAUGGGAAUAUGAUAAACUUUCAAAAAGAUUUUGUGUACCUAGGGUCUAAUCAUAUAUGUUUUCUGUUCGUGUAAUUACAUGUCGUAUUUCAUUUCU